UACGUAGGCAGCGAGCGUUGUUCGGAUUCAUUGGGCGUAAAGGGUGCGUAGGCGGCGCGGUAAGUCGGGUGUGAAAUCUCGGGGCUUAACUCCGAAACUGCAUUCGAUACUGCCGUGCUUGAGGACUGGAGAGGAGACUGGAAUUUACGGUGUAGCGGUGAAAUGCGCAGAUACCGGGAGGAACACCGGUGGCGAAGGCGGUUCUCUGGGCCUUACCUGACGCUGAGGAGCGAAAGCGUGGGGAGCGAACAGG
rnacentral:rRNA from 1 species